UACGGGGGGGGCAAGCGUUGUUCGGAAUUACUGGGCGUAAAGGGUUCGUAGGUGGCCAACUAAGUCAGACGUGAAAUCCCUCAGCUUAACUGGGGAACUGCGUCUGAUACUGGUUGGCUUGAGUGCAGGAGAGGAAUGCGGAAUUCCAGGUGUAGCGGUGAAAUGCGUAGAUAUCUGGAGGAACACCGGUGGCGAAGGCGGCAUCCUGGACCAAUACUGACGCUGAGGAGCGAAAGCCAGGGGAGCAAACGGG
rnacentral:rRNA from 1 species